UACGUAGGGUGCAAGCGUUUGUCCGGAAUUAUUGGGCGUAAAGAGCUCGUAGGCGGUCUGUCGCGUCGGAUGUGAAAAUCCAGGGCUCAACCCUGGACCUGCAUUCGAUACGGGCAGACUAGAGUCCGGAAGAGGCGAGUGGAAUUCCCGGUGUAGCGGUGAAAUGCGCAGAUAUCAGGAAGAACACCCGUGGCGAAGGCGGCUCUCUGGGACGGUACUGACGCUGAGACGCGAAAGCGUGGGGAGCGAACAGG
rnacentral:rRNA from 1 species